rnacentral:sRNA from 1 species
UUCACCAACCCUGACCUAAAGGUACAGGGAUUGACUAAACCAAUUUAGUUGACGUAAGCGGUGAAUAGCCCACAGAGCCUAACUAUCUCACAGACUUCCGAAUACUUCCCUAGUUCGGAUCACUUCUAAACCCGAUUGGUAUGGGUGCUAUUAAAGACAGGACAUGGUUGGUUAGGUGGGCGAAGGGACACAAACUCAACUCUUGA